rnacentral:rRNA from 1 species
GAUGAACGCUGGCGGCGUGCCUAAUACAUGCCAGUCGAGCGAACAGACGAGGAGCUUGCUCCUCUGACGUUAGCGGCGGACGGGUGAGUAACACGUGGAUAACCUACCUAUAAGACUGGGAUAACUUCGGGAAACCGGCGCUAAUACCGGAUAAUAUAUUGAACCGCAUGGUUCAAUAGUGAAAGACGGUUUUGCUGUCACUUAUAGAUGGAUCCGCGCCGCAUUAGCUAGUUGGUAAGGUAACGGCUUACCAAGGCAACGAUGCGUAGCCGACCUGAGAGGGUGAUCGGCCACACUGGAACUGAGACACGGUCCAGACUCCUACGGGAGGCAGCAGUAGGGAAUCUUCCGCAAUGGGCGAAAGCCUGACGGAGCAACGCCGCGUGAGUGAUGAAGGUCUUCGGAUCGUAAAACUCUGUUAUUAGGGAAGAACAAAUGUGUAAGUAACUAUGCACGUCUUGACGGUACCCAAUCAGAAAGCCACGGCUAACUACGUG